rnacentral:sRNA from 1 species
AGGUUAGAUAAGAGUGGGGAUGGAUAAGGAAGCAGGGAAGAUGUUUUGGUCAUUGGGACCAGCAGUGCAAAGGCCCUGAGGUGAGCCCGGCAUCUUCUGGUCCAUGUCUCGCUGGGAGGCAGCCAGCCAAGUCCGCGGUGAAUGCAGCCCUGCCCCCUCUUCUAGGCAGAUGUGGCUGCAUGGCUCACUCUUUCGGGGAGAGCUACCGGGUGGGCAGCACCUCUGGCAUCCACGCCAUCACCGUCUUCUGCUCCUGGGACUACAAGGUGACGCAGAAGCGGGCCUCCCGCCUCCAGCAGGACAAUAUUCGCACCCGGCUGAAGGAGGGUGAGGACAAAAUCUUCUUAAUCAACAAGCUUCACUCCAUCUACGAGAGGAAGGAGAGGGAGGAGAGGAGCAGGGUUGGGACAACCGAGGAGGCUGCGGCACCCCCUGCCCUGCUCACAGAUGAACAGGAUGCCUAGGGGGACGGCGAUGGGCCUCACGGGCCCGCCCAGCACCCUGAGACCACACUGUUGCCUCCCAGUGACCCUGCUGGGACACCAGGACAAGGAAGACAGUUUCGCCUCUCGAAAGCCGCGGCUGCGCCUAGGCUGGAGCUGGAAGGGUGGGUGAAUCCGGCUUGGGCAUCCCCAGUGAACUCUGCCCUGCCUGGGACUCUAUUUAUUCUGAUUAAAGGGGUUUUGCAAAUGG